UUCAGGUAGGAACAGAGCUUCCUGGCUGGGCGUGCCUGAGAGAUUUGGCCAUUCAGUUCCUCGGAGCAGGCGUUCCAGCCUCUGGUGGCCGGUGCUGGGAUCACAGAGCUCUCAAUUUAGGUGGCCCUGAGUUUCAGGAUUCACUGACUCCCGGAAGUGAUUCUAGAUGCGACUGCUUGUGGCUACUGAGGUUGUCCUCGGAGGCCAAAGGCGUCAGAUACGACACCUGGAAGUUGAAUUUACAGAAUUGCCAGCUGCCCAACAUGGAUUCUUGGAACCAAACCUUUAGAAUUCAACAAACAAACAACCCAGGGGGCUGGAGAGAUGGCUCAGCACUCAAGAGCACUGACUGCUGCUCUUCCAGAGGUCCUGAGUUCAAUUCCCAGCAACCACAUGGUGGUUCACAACCAUUUGUAAUGAGUUCCAAUGCCCUCUUCUGGUGUGUCUGAAGACAGCGACAUAAAAUGAAUAAAUCUUUUUAAAAACCCAA
ensembl:lincRNA Gm20442 predicted gene 20442